AUGCAGCCAGAACAAAAGAAAGCAAAAGUAGAACAAAAUAAAGCUCGCCGUCAAAUGGAGCGCAACACACCGUCCAAAGAUUCACUUGCAAUGGAGAACCCUGAAUAUGUCGCAACCGAACAAGAGGUUAGUACAUUUGCUGUAAAACACAGGGAUAAUGUGCCAGCAGGAAAAAGGCAAACAUUGCUACACCAUCGUAACGAACAAUUCAUGAGAAGACAGAGGCAAACUGUUUCCGUAUCAUCAAAACAAGAUGCAUCCAUGACGAAAAACACCGACGAAAACAAAGAACCUCUGGAGCAACCACAAGUCAUGACUUACGGUAAUAAAUCACAAUUUUAUAUAAUACUCGCACUCCAAGUAAAUAUAAUCUGUCUGUACAACUAA
rnacentral:rRNA from 1 species